rnacentral:rRNA from 1 species
UAAGGAAUAUUGGUCAAUGGAGGCAACUCUGAACCAGCCAUGCCGCGUGCAGGAAGACGGCCCUAUGGGUUGUAAACUGCUUUUAUCUGGGAAUAAACCUUUUUACGUGUAAGAAGCUGAAUGUACCAGAAGAAUAAGGAUCGGCUAACUCCGUGCCAGCAGCCGCGGUAAUACGGAGGAUCCAAGCGUUAUCCGGAUUUAUUGGGUUUAAAGGGUGCGUAGGCGGCCUGUUAAGUCAGAGGUGAAAGACGGUAGCUCAACUAUCGCAGUGCCUUUGAUACUGACGGGCUUGAAUAAACUAGAGGUAGGCGGAAUGAGACAAGUAGCGGUGAAAUGCAUAGAUAUGUCUCAGAACACCGAUUGCGAAGGCAGCUUACUAUGGUUUUAUUGACGCUGAGGCACGAAAGCGUGGGGAUCAAACA